AAAGGAGAAAGCCAUAGCAGAAGUGCUCAUGGCACAGCCAUGUCAGAUUCCAAUGAAUCUGAAUUCUGCU
rnacentral:ribozyme from 1 species